rnacentral:tRNA from 1 species
UCCCUGGUAGUCCAGUGGUUAAGACUCUGCAUUUCGAAUGCAAGGAGCCUGGGAUUAAUCCCUAGUCAAGGAA